rnacentral:rRNA from 1 species
GGACUACUGGGGUAUCUAAUCCUGUUUGCUCCCCACGCUUUCGCGUCUCAGCGUCAGUCACCGUCCAGAUGGCCGCCUUCGCCACCGGUGUUCUUCUCGAUAUCUACGAAUUUCACCUCUACACCGAGAGUUCCACCAUCCUCUCCGGGACUCCAGUCGCGCAGUAUCGAAUGCACUUCCUGGGUUGAGCCCAGGGCUUUCACACCCGACUUGCACGACCGCCUACACGCGCUUUACGCCCAGUAAUUCCGAACAACGUUCGCACCCUCUGUCUUACCGCGGCGGCUGGCAC